AGACUAGCUAAUGAAACAGUGCAUCAUAAAACCUUCAGAAGGAAGGAUCGUUCAGUGGACCAUUUGUUUUUGUGUGCGCAGUUUCAAGUUAUUCGUUUUUAAAGUCAGU
rnacentral:miRNA from 1 species